CAGGAGACGAUGGAAGGUCUAUAGUGUUACAGCUCUGACCCAGGAAGUCCCAGGGUCUUGCCUUCCAGAAGGGUCGCGGCUCUUCCCUCCCUCAGUCCAACGAACAGGAGCACGUCACCUCCCGCAGCUCGGGGAGCUGGCCAGGAACGUGUUACAGCCCGUUUCGCUCCUGUCCGCAGCUGGGUGAGGCAGCCAGGAAAAUAUUACAGCUCUUCUCACGCCCGCCAUUCAGCAGGUCCUGACUUCUUGUGUGACAUCCAGAAGAAAGGGGUUACACAGACAGCUGGAGGGUGAGCAAAGUGGAGAAGUUCUCAGCAGAGAGGAGACUGGAGUGAGUUGCCCCUACCCGCAGGUGCCAACUGUAAUACAUCAGUAGCUGAACAGCUCAUUGCCCUCAAGUGUUCUUGCUCAUGCCUGGCUGAGUUAUUGAAGAAAUUGCUCAGAUCUCAAGCCCUUGUAGAUCACUGGUCCUGGCAGAUGUUAUACGUGAACAGAAAAGCCUGAACUAGGGAACUGACCAUGAAACUAAAAAGGAGAAAGCAUAUGCAAGUGGACACAAUAUGAGAAAUAAAGAAAACAAGAAAAGCAAGGGAAAGGAGAGAAAAAAGGAGGGAUACAGCAAGAGGGAGAAAGAAAAGGACGAGAA
rnacentral:lncRNA from 1 species